AUGCGGUUGGUAUUUGGUCUGAUCAACUGUGGUUCUUUAGAUGUUUGGGAAAUUGGAGGACCAAGUGGUAUUCAUAAUGUUAACAACCUCUGCCGGCGAGUCCGGUUCAAAGGUUGUUCUAGUCGAUCACGCCAAGGGCUGGUCCCCCCCAGCCGGCGGCGCCGGCUUCUGCGGCGCGGCGCUGGCAGGGGCCGACCUGCCGUGCCUUUGCCGGUAGAAGAACAUCGGUGGCAUGUGGCGAGGUUCUACAAGAUCGACAUGAAACGCGCCAUGGCGUUGCCAGGCAAGUGCGGCCUCACCAUGCCCGCCAACUGCUGA
rnacentral:rRNA from 1 species